rnacentral:rRNA from 1 species
GUGACCUCAAAUCAGGUAGGACUACCCGCUGAACUUAAGCAUAUCAAUAAGCGGAGGAAAAGAAACUAACAAGGAUUCCCCUAGUAACUGCGAGUGAAGCGGGAAAAGCUCAAAUUUAAAAUCUGGCGGUCUUUUGGCUGUCCGAGUUGUAAUCUAGAGAAGUGUUAUCCGCGCUGGACCGUGUACAAGUCUCCUGGAAUGGAGCAUCAUAGAGGG